GAAAUGUGAUAAGUAAUGUGAAUUGCAGAAUUCAGUGAAUCAUCGAAUCUUUGAACGCACAUUGCGCCCGGCAGCAAUCUGCCGGGCAUGCCUGUCCGAGCGUCAUUUCUGCCCUCGAGCGCGGUUCGGCCCCUAGCGGGCCGGCCGCCGCCCGGUGUUGGGGCGCUGCGGGCCCUCGUGCCCGCAGGCCCUGAAAUGAAGUGGCGGUCCCGCCGCGGCGCCCCCUGCGUAGUAGUAAAGCACCUCGCAUCGGGUCCCGGCGGAGGCCAGCCGUCGAACCUCUCUUUUGAUGGUUUGACCUCGGAUCAGGUAGGGUUACCCGCUGAACUUAAGC
rnacentral:misc_RNA from 1 species